rnacentral:rRNA from 1 species
AGCUACCUAAAUACACUUUCCAGUACAUUUACUAUGUUACGACUUAUCUCAAUUUAAAUGAGAGCGACGGGCGAUAUGUGCAUAUUUUAGAGCUAAAAUCAUUAAAUCUAUAUAAACUUAAUUACUAUCAAAUCCACUUUUAUGACUUUUUUUAAAAAUCAAUCCAUAAAUUACUUUAUUGUAACCCAUCUCUUCUUAUUUAUAAACUGCACCUUGAUCUGAUUUAUUUUUUAAAUAAAAAUUUAGAACAUUUAUUUUCUAUUAAAAUAUUCAACUACGACGAUAUACAAAUUAAUAAAAUAAGUAUAAAUAAUCGUGGAAUAUCAAUUAUAGAACAGGUUCCUCUGAAUAGAUUAAAAUACCGCCAAAUUUUUUAACUUUUAAGAUUAUAACUAUUAAUAAUUUAAUUUUUACAACUUUACAUUUUUAUAAUAGGGUAUCUAAUCCUAGUUUUAGAUAAAAUUUAAUAACUUCAAAACCUUUAAUUUAAAUUAUUCUUAAUUUAAAAUUUCACUUAAUAAAUUAAAAUAGAUAUUAAAAUUAAUAAAAUUAAUUAUAAAUUAAUAAUAAUAAAUUAUAUUAUUUGUGUAACCGCAACUGCUGGCACAAAUUAUGUUAAUAUUAUUAUAAAUUUCUAAAUCUAAGUUUCCUUAAUAUUCAAAAUUAAAUACUGCGAAUAAAUUUACUUUAUAAAUCUUUUAGAAUUAUAAAAAAUUUCACUAAAAUUUACAUGUAAAUAAUUUAUAUACUUAUUAUUCAAGUAAAAAUAAAACUUUUU